AACGAACGCUGGCGGCAUGCCUAACACAUGCAAGUCGAACGAAGCCUUCGGGCUUAGUGGCGCACGGGUGCGUAACGCGUGGGAAUCUGCCCUUGGGUUCGGAAUAACAGUUAGAAAUGACUGCUAAUACCGAAUGAUGUCUUCGGACCAAAGAUUUAUCGCCCAAGGAUGAGCCCGCGUCGGAUUAGCUAGUUGGUGAGGUAAAGGCUCACCAAGGCGACGAUCCGUAGCUGGUCUGAGAGGAUGAUCAGCCACACUGGGACUGAGACACGGCCCAGACUCCUACGGGAGGCAGCAGUGGGGAAUAUUGGGACAAUGGGCGAAAGCCUGAUCCAGCAAUGCCGCGUGAGUGAUGAAGGCCUUAGGGUUGUAAAGCUCUUUUACCCGGGAUGAUAAUGACAGUACCGGGAGAAUAAGCCCCGGCUAACUCCGUGCCAGCAGCCGCGGUAAU
rnacentral:rRNA from 1 species